rnacentral:misc_RNA from 1 species
GCCAUUCGUUAUCAAAACAACUAUAGCAAUGGCUCCCAAAUUCUCCUAUCUUCUUACAACCUUCUUCCUACUACUCUUUUCAAUCCAGCUCUUUAUAGCUCAGUCUGAAGAUCAUGAAGGGAAAACACUCAAAUUUCUUCAAAGUCUAAAGGAAGUCAUAAAGGGCCAAAAUGUUGUUGGCCUUAAUAAGGUCAAGAAGCACCUUAGGAAAUUUGGAUACUACCCAAGUGAUGAUACCAAUAAUCUAACUGACGAUUUCGAUGACCAUUUGGAGUCUGCACUCAAAACUUACCAAAAAUUUUAUCAGCUACAGGUCACUGGGAAUCUUGAUUCUGCUACAAUCAAGAAUAUGAUGAUCCCACGAUGUGGAGUACCUGAUAUCACCAAUCUCACAUCCUCAUCAAUACCAACCAGCAGCAGCCACCACAAGUCGAAAAUGUUCCACAUGGUUUCACACUAUGAUUUUCCCGAGGGAACCCCAAGAUGGCCAUCUUCUGAGUAUCAACUCACCUACACGUUUCGUUCUGGAGUUCAAAGCCCAAAUGAGGAAGACAUGAGGUCUGCUUGCUCCCAAGCUUUUCAGAGAUGGGCAAGUGUUUCCCAGUUCUCGUUUCAGGAAGCACCUGCAGGUUCCCAAGCAGAUAUUUUAAUCGGUUUUUAUAGAGGUGAUCACGGAGACGAAGAACCUUUUGAUGGGCCUGGAAUGGUGCUGGCUCAUUCAUUUCCUCCCCAAGAUGGAAGAUUCCAUUAUGAUGCAGACGAGGAUUGGAGCAGUAAUCCCAACAUGAACCAAAUGGACUUGGAAUCUGUGGCAGUUCAUGAAAUUGGUCAUCUGCUUGGGCUUGCACACAGUCAGGAUUCAAAUGCCAUUAUGUACGCAACAAUUCCACCAGGGAUUAUAAAAAGGGAACUCACACAAGAUGAUAUUGACGGCAUACAUGCUCUCUACCGUAAUUAAUCAAGCAAAAAACUAUGUUUUGCAUGGAACAAUCAAAGAGCAAUUCAUGUGUUCAUGUUUAAUUACCAAAUAUGAACGGAUCUUAAUCGAUAUGUAAUGGAUAUUAUUGUACUUUUCGUUGUUCAAUGUCUGCUAUUCCACAAAGUUGCCUUUCUUUUUAUGAAUAACUAGUCGUUUUGCUA